GAGACCGGGCCUCAGCCGGAGUCCGGGUCCGAGCAGGAGCCCGAAUAAUCCGAGUCCCAGCCUGGCCCGGCCUGCCUCGCCUGGAGCCCCCUGGAGGUGGCUGAGUGGGUUCGGCAGCUGGGCUUCCCUCAGUACGAGGACUGCUUUACAACUAACUGCAUCACUGGCCGCAAACUCAUCCAUGUUAACUGCUCAAACCUGCCACAGAUGGGCAUAACGGACUUUGACCACAUGAAGGAGAUUUCAUGGCAUGUGCGAGAGCUGCUGGGGAUUGAGGAGCCUCUCUGGAGCAGAAGCACUGCCCUCCCUUACAGGGACAACCUGGGCUUGUUUCUAGAACACAAAGCCCCAACUGGUGCAAAAGCUGAUGCCCUCACCUUCUCUCAGUUUGUCCAAGAAACAGGAUUAGAGCCAUAUGCUACAAUUCCACCUUUGUAAAAAUCCCAGACUGCUGUGAAAGCAGACGCCCUCGCCUUCUUUGUUCAAGAAGCUACAAUUCCAUCCUCUCCGGAUUAAAGAAAGGCACAUCGAUACUGUGAUUUGUUUAGUGCUGACAGUAUGCUCAGCCAUGCACAGUCCCUCGCUUGAACACGCUUGCCAUUUAAACUUCUACUCCUAAAGAAACCCCUCUGGGAUAUUGCCAGGUGCCGAACUCAUUAGUUCAGUUAUAUUAUCCUAAAGGUUCCCUUUUUCCCCCAUUGCAGGAGCUCUGUGAGGCUCAGUCAUGUCUGAAUACCUAUCAACUGCUGCUACUUCACAUGUUAUCACCUAGACCAUAGAUAAAUCUUAAUCACCUUUCACUGACACCGCUUUCGUCAAGCUCAGGUGAUAGAUUAUAAGGCUUUUCCCCAAACUCUAGUCUUUGCCAUUACAGAUCCAGCUGACCUCAUUCACUGAUCCCACACACAGAAAUAAGUUUAAAGAGUUAAGUGAUGUAUAUAAUAAUUUCCUUAUGAUAUAGUGCCUUGUGUUGUAAAGGAUCUCAAGAUGCUCUACAAACUAUAUAAUGCAGGAAUCCCUUUCCUCAUGGAGAGAAGUAUCAUGCAAUCUUUUACAUGGUUAGGAUUUUGGUUUUACAUCUCAUCCUACACUUUUAGGUCUCAUCAACACUUUCAGCAGCAAGGCAUCUCCUGGCACUAUGAUUAAGUGGUGGUUCAAUCCUGACAAAGGAAAAAAUGCUUCCUACUGAAUCAUCACUACCAUUUUCAGCAGCAGCAGCAGGGAUUUCCUUGAUCCCCAGUCCAAAUAGCGAACAGGUACAAUCCUCUUUAGUGUGUGAGAUCUUAUUAGUUCAAAACCCAAUGUGGUGGGACUGCAGCCACUGUACGGCUGCUCUCCUGCUUACCUGUCAAAAAUGCUACAGAAAGUGAAUGUGCCCAACACUCUGAAUUGAGGUCUUAGGACAAAAUGCCAUUUUAAUAAGUGAGCUUGGAUUGAAAUAAAGCAGUUAUCUGGCAGAGUGCUAACGUCCCAGGCAAGCAGGUUUAAUAGAAAACCAAAACAAACAAAAGCAUGCACUGAUUAGAGUAACAUUGCAGAUUCCACUAAACAUUUAAAGAGCAAGCAGCGCAAAUUCCCACUUUUUCCUCAUCUCGCUCUGGGACAGAUAGUCAUCACUGUUAGGUUCCAGGACUGUUCAGUAACAGCCAUGCUUGUUGGCCCACUGACUCCAAUACUUUGUUGAACAGUGACCCUUUCCAGAGAGAGGACUCAGAGCUACCACAUGUAAACCCCAAAGAUUUUAGCAGUAGCCAACUCAUGUUCUGUGAAGGUGUUACCAAGACCUAUAUGUGGCCACAAGAUAGGCAAGACUGCAGAUGGUGUGACAAAGCUCUGUCCUUGUCUCAGUGGGUCCCAUGCUUUCUGGCGGAUUUCGCUAGCCUCAGAGGCUCACUGUGACCCCCUCCCCCCCAUAGCCCUUCUCUCUCUCUAGAGGCAAGGGUCACAGCCUACUGAGCCAUUUUCAUCAUAAGCCAGCAAGGGAGGUGAG